rnacentral:rRNA from 1 species
AGAGUUUGAUCCUGGCUCAGGAUGAACGCUGGCGGCGUGCUUAACACAUGCAAGUCGAGCGAAGCAUUUAAGCAGAUUUCUUCGGAUUGAAGCUUAUCCGACUGAGCGGCGGACGGGUGAGUAACGCGUGGGGAACCUGCCCUAUACAGGGGGAUAACAGUUAGAAAUGACUGCUAAUACCGCAUAAGCGCACGGAGCGGCAUCGCUCAGUGUGAAAAACUCCGGUGGUAUAGGAUGGCCCCGCGUCUGAUUAGCUUGUUGGCGAGGUAACGGCCCACCAAGGCGACGAUCAGUAGCCGGCCUGAGAGGGUGAGCGGCCACAUUGGGACUGAGACACGGCCCAAACUCCUACGGGAGGCAGCAGUGGGGAAUAUUGCACAAUGGGGGAAACCCUGAUGCAGCGACGCCGCGUGGGUGAAGAAGUAUUUCGGUAUGUAAAGCCCUAUCAGCGGGGAAGAAGAUGACAGUACCCGACUAAGAAGCCCCGGCUAACUACGUGCCAGCAGCCGCGGU